rnacentral:rRNA from 1 species
UUCGUAGAGUGCAAAGGCAUAAGGGAGCUUGACUGCGAGACCUACAAGUCGAGCAGGGACGAAAGUCGGGCUUAGUGAUCCGGUGGUGCCGCAUGGAAGGGCCAUCGCUCAACGGAUAAAAGCUACCCCGGGGAUAACAGGCUUAUCUCCCCCAAGAGUCCACAUCGACGGGGAGGUUUGGCACCUCGAUGUCGGCUCAUCGCAUCCUGGGGCUGUAGUCGGUCCCAAGGGUUGGGCUGUUCGCCCAUUAAAGCGGUACGCGAGCUGGGUUCAGAACGUCGUGAGACAGUUCGGUCCCUAUCCGUCGUGGGCGUAGGAAAUUUGAGAGGAGC